ACAGUGGACGCGAGCAUCUGUGGCCAAGUUUUUAAGGGCGCACGGUGGAUGCCUUGGCACCAGGAACCGAUGAAGGACGUGGGAGGCCACGAUAGUCCCCGGGGAGUCGUCAACCAGGCUUUGAUCCGGGGGUUUCCGAAUGGGGAAACCCGGCAGUCGUCAUGGGCUGUCACCCGCUGCUGAACACAUAGGCAGUGUGGAGGGAACGAGGGGAAGUGAAACAUCUCAGUACCCUCAGGAAGAGAAAACAACCGUGAUUCCGGGAGUAGUGGCGAGCGAAACCGGAUGAGGCCAAACCGUAUGCGUGUGAGACCCGGCAGGGGUUGCGUGUACGGGGUUGUGGGAUCUCUCUUCUGCGGUCUGCCGGCCGUAGGGCGAGUUAUAAACCGUUGAUGUAGACGAAGGACAUGCGAAAGGUCCGGCGUAGAGGGUAAGACCCCCGUAGUCGAAAUGUCAGCGGCUUGCUUGAGAGACACCCAAGUAGCACGGGGCCCGAGAAAUCCCGUGUGAAUCUGGCGGGACCACCCGCUAAGCCUAAAUAUUCCCUGGUGACCGAUAGCGGAUAGUACCGUGAGGGAAUGGUGAAAAGUACCCCGGGAGGGGAGUGAAAUAGUACCUGAAACCGUGUGCCUACAAGCCGUGGGAGCGUCGGAAUGUGCUUGCACAUUCUCGUGACUGCGUGCCUUUUGAAGAAUGAGCCUGCGAGUUUGCGGUGUGUUGCGAGGUUAACCCGUGUGGGGAAGCCGUAGCGAAAGCGAGUCCGAACAGGGCGAUUCAGUAGCACGCUCAAGACCCGAAGCGGAGUGAUCUAGCCAUGGGCAGGUUGAAGCGGAGGUAAGACUUCGUGGAGGACCGAACCCACCAGGGUUGAAAACCUGGGGGAUGACCUGUGGUUAGGGGUGAAAGGCCAAUCAAACUCCGUGAUAGCUGGUUCUCCCCGAAAUGCAUUUAGGUGCAGCGUCGUGUGUUUCUUGCCGGAGGUAGAGCACUGGAUAGGCGAUGGGCCCUACCGGGUUACUGACCUUAGCCAAACUCCGAAUGCCGGUAAGUGAGAGCACGGCAGUGAGACUGUGGGGGAUAAGCUCCAUGGUCGAGAGGGAAACAGCCCAGAGCAUCGACUAAGGCCCCUAAGCGUACGCUAAGUGGGAAAGGAUGUGGAGUCGCACAGACAACCAGGAGGUUGGCUUAGAAGCAGCCACCCUUGAAAGAGUGCGUAAUAGCUCACUGGUCUAGUGAUUCCGCGCCGACAAUGUAGCGGGGCUCAAGCGUACCGCCGAAGUCGUGUCAUUGCAGCAAUAGCCCCAACGGGUGCUGUGAUGGGUAGGGGAGCGUCGUCUGCCGGGUGAAGCAGCACCGGAAGGUAGUUGUGGACGGUUGACGAGUGAGAAUGCAGGCAUGAGUAGCGAUACACACGUGAGAAACGUGUGCGCCGAUUGACUAAGGGUUCCUGGGUCAAGCUGAUCUGCCCAGGGUAAGUCGGGACCUAAGGCGAGGCCGACAGGCGUAGUCGAUGGAUAACCGGUUGAUAUUCCGGUACCCGCUGUGAAGCGUCAAACAUCGAGCAUCGUGAUGCUAAGGCCGUGAAGCCGCCCUGAUCUCUUCGGAGUUGAGGGGAGUGGUGGAGCCGCUGAACCAAGCGGUUAGUAGGUGAGUGAUGGGGUGACGCAGGAAGGUAGUCCAUCCCGGGCGGUGGUUGUCCCGGGGUAAGGGUGUAGCCCGAGUGGUAGGUAAAUCCGCCACUCAUAUAAGGGUGAGACCUGAUGCCGAGCCGAUUGUGGUGAAGUGGAUGAUCCUAUGCUGUCGAGAAAAGCCUCUAGCGAGUUUCAUGGCGGCCCGUACCCUAAACCGACUCAGGUGGUCAGGUAGAGAAUACCGAGGCGUUCGGGUGAACUAUGGUUAAGGAACUCGGCAAAAUGCCCCCGUAACUUCGGGAGAAGGGGGGCCACACUCGGUGAUGGGAUUUACUCCCUGAGCUGGGGGUGGCCGCAGAGACCAGCGAGAAGCGACUGUUUACUAAAACACAGGUCCGUGCGAAGCCGUAAGGCGAUGUAUACGGACUGACGCCUGCCCGGUGCUGGAACGUUAAGGGGACCGGUUAGCUCCAUUUCGGUGGGGCGAAGCUGAGAACUUAAGCGCCAGUAAACGGCGGUGGUAACUAUAACCAUCCUAAGGUAGCGAAAUUCCUUGUCGGGUAAGUUCCGACCUGCACGAAUGGCGUAACGACUUCUCGACUGUCUCAACCAUAGGCCCGGUGAAAUUGCACUACGAGU
rnacentral:rRNA from 1 species